GGAUACAGGCAGGGGCCCAGAAAAGGCUCCACCCACAGCAGGCUGGCCCUCCCACAUUUAUCACUAACUGAGAAAAUACCCCCACAGACUUGCCUAAAGGCCAGUAUGAUAGAGGUAUUUUCUCAAUUUAGGUUCCCUCUUCCCAGGUAACUCCAGCUGGUGUCAGGUAGCCAAAAAAAAAAAAAAAAAAAAAAAAACAAAAAACAAAACAAAAAACUAGACAGCAAAAAAUGCAGAUCUAAACUCAAUCCCCAGCACCCACAUAUAAAAAUCUGGUAAUAUAUAAUCAUGGUAAUAUAGGUUUGUAAUCCCUGCACACUGGGGAAGCGUAGACAGGCAGAUCUCUGGAGCUUACUGGCCAACCAGACGAGAUGAAUUGCCAAGAUUCACUGUAAGAGCCUAUCUCAAAAACUAAGGUGGAGAGCAAUGGAAAAAGACAUCCAGUAGCCACCUCUGGCCCUUACCCAUACAUGCACCCAAACAUGCAUGCUUACAUGAAUGUGCGCGCGCGCACACACACACACAGAGCGUGUGAGAGAGAAAUCGCGAGCACCAGAGCGAGCAGGGACCACUCUGGGAAAGUAAAACAUCUCGGAGCUCAGGCCCUGGCGUGUGAAGACUUGGCUGCCUUUCCUUGGGUAAUCAAUCCACAGAGCUCCUGAAGCUUUGUUUUAGUAUUGCUAUCACUAUGGGUUGUAUCUGCCAAACACAGGCCUGGCGCUUGGUAACCACUUGCUUGCUUUCCAUUCCUCCUUGGAAGUCAGACUCCAGAGCAUCCAAUAACCAGUGUACC
rnacentral:lncRNA from 1 species